CUUAGUACGAGAGGACCGGGAUGGACGUACCUCUGGUGUACCAGUUGUCCUGCCAAGGGCAUGGCUGGGUAGCUAUGUACGGAAUGGAUAAGCGCUGAAAGCAUCUAAGCGCGAAGCCAACUUCAAGAUAAGAUUUCCCACCGCAAGGGUAAGACCCCAGAAAGACUAUCUGGUUGAUAGGUCGAAGGUGUAAGUGCAGCAAUGUAUUUAGCUUAUCGAUACUAAUAGGUCGAGGACUUGACCAAU
rnacentral:rRNA from 1 species